GAUGAACGCUAGCUACAGGCUUAACACAUGCAAGUCGAGGGGAAACGACAUCGAAAGCUUGCUUUUGAUGGGCGUCGACCGGCGCACGGGUGAGUAACGCGUAUCCAACCUGCCCAUCACUUGGGAAUAACCUUGCGAAAGUAAGACUAAUACCCAAUGAUAUCCCACGAAGGCAUCGGAAUGGGAUUAAAGAUUUAUCGGUGAUGGAUGGGGAUGCGUCUGAUUAGCUUGUUGGCGGGGUAACGGCCCACCAAGGCAACGAUCAGUAGGGGUUCUGAGAGGAAGGUCCCCCACAUUGGAACCGAGACACGGACCAAACUCCUACGGGAGGCAACAGUGAGGAAUAUUAGGCAAUGGGCGAGAGCCUGAACCAGCCAAGUAGCGUGCAGGAAGACGGCCCUAUGGGUUGUAAACUGCUUUUAUAAGGGAAAAAAGUGGGUCACGUGUGACUUUUUGCAUGUACCUUAUGAAUAAGGACCGGCUAAUUCCGUG
rnacentral:rRNA from 1 species